UUUGCAGGUGAACGCGGAAAAGGCCUGUUGACAAUUUAGUGCUGUUUUAAGAACUACUAAGUGAAAUAAAAUGUUCACUUCUUCUGCAUUAGUAUAAAAAUGUUACUAAGUAAUAAAUUGAUUCUUCUUUAACAU